UACAGAGGGUGCGAGCGUUAAUCGGAUUUACUGGGCGUAAAGGGCGCGUAGGCGGUUAUAUGAGUGUGAUGUGAAAGCCCCGGGCUUAACCUGGGAAGUGCAUCGCAAACGAUAUAACUGGAGUAUAUGAGAGGGUGGCGGAAUUUCCGGUGUAGCGGUGAAAUGCGUAGAGAUCGGAAGGAACGUCAAUGGCGAAGGCAGCCACCUGGCAUAAUACUGACGCUGAGGCGCGAAAGCGUGGGGAGCGAACAGG
rnacentral:rRNA from 1 species